rnacentral:rRNA from 1 species
UCCUGGCUCAGAUUGAACGCUGGCGGCAUGCCUUACACAUGCAAGUCGAACGGCAGCACGGGGGCAACCCUGGUGGCGAGUGGCGAACGGGUGAGUAAGACAUCGGAACGUGUCCUGUAGUGGGGGAUAGCCCGGCGAAAGCCGGAUUAAUACCGCAUACGACCUGAGGGAGAAAGCGGGGGAUCUUCGGACCUCGCGCUAUAGGGGCGGCCGAUGGCAGAUUAGCUAGUUGGUGGGGUAAAGGCCUACCAAGGCGACGAUCUGUAGCUGGUCUGAGAGGACGACCAGCCACACUGGGACUGAGACACGGCCCAGACUCCUACGGGAGGCAGCAGUGGGGAAUUUUGGACAAUGGGGGCAAUCCUGAUCCAGCAAUGCCGCGUGUGUGAAGAAGGCCUUCGGGUUGUAAAGCACUUUUGUCCGGAAAGAAAACCAUCGCCCUAAUAUGGUGGUGGGAUGACGGUACCGGAAGAAUAAGCACCGGCUAACUACGUGCCAGCAGCCGCGGUAAUACGUAGGGUGCGAGCGUUAAUCGGAAUUACUGGGCGUAAAGCGUGCGCAGGCGGUCUGUUAAGACCGAUGUGAAAUCCCCGGGCUUAACCUGGGAACUGCAUUGGUGACUGGCAGACUGGAGUGUGGCAGAGGGAGGUAGAAUUCCACGUGUAGCAGUGAAAUGCGUAGAGAUGUGGAGGAAUACCGAUGGCGAA